AUAACUGUCAGGUGAGGGACCCAAUGACGGCUUUGCUUACGCGUUUGAACGGUGGGUCUGACUUAACUAAGGAAUGGGGCCAAUAACUGUCAGGUGAGGCUUACAGGACUUAGAGACCGAUUACUGCAAUUUGCUUGAGAAGCAUUGGACAAGAGUUGUCCACUCAUCGGUUUGCAUAUCACCAAUAACUGUUAGGUGAGGUGAUACGUUAAACUGGUGGGACCGCAGUACUCACUUGAAACCUUUUGUCGUGUUGGGUUUCCGUUUCUCUACCCGAGAAGUGUAAGAGGCUCGAGAAAAUAGUGGGAGGCUAAAUUUGUUUUUAAAAUCCCUAAACAAAUUUUCAAAACAAAUACAAAUAUUUAACUUGAAUCUUUAUUCUCUACAAAAUAAAUGUCUGCUUCCAAUUAUCUCUCUCGUAUUCUCGACACGAAACCCUUAACUGAAACUAAUUAUAAAGACUGGCCAAAGAACUUAAAAAUAGUUUUAAAUUCCAAUAAGCUCCGCAUUGUUCUCGACCAGGUAAACCUUAUGUUACCAAACCGUCCAAUAACUAACCGAAGGGCAGUCUGUUCAU
rnacentral:lncRNA from 1 species